GGAGGAUGCGAGCGUUAUCCGGAUUUAUUGGGUUUAAAGGGAGCGCAGACGGGGGAUUAAGUCAGUUGUGAAAGUUUGCGGCUCAACCGUAAAAUUGCAGUUGAUACUGGUUCCCUUGAGUGCAGUUGAGGCAGGCGGAAUUCGUGGUGUAGCGGUGAAAUGCAUAGAUAUCACGAAGAACCCCGAUUGCGAAGGCAGCCUGCUAAGCUGUAACUGACGUUGAGGCUCGAAAGUGUGGGUAUCAAACAGGAUUAGAUACCCUGGUAGUCCACACGGUAAACGAUGAAUACUCGCUGUUUGCGAUAUACUGCAAGCGGCCAAGCGAAAGCGUUAAGUAUUCCACCUGGGGAGU
rnacentral:rRNA from 1 species